AUGCCGCCCGGGUACCAGACGGACCUCCUUGAAGCCAGGGAACUGAUUGAAAAGCAUGGACAGCAUGAGCUCGUUGGUCUCCUCUGGCAGGUUGGUGAGGAACAAGAUGUGAUUCGGUGGAUUCUCAGAAAGAGGCUGGGCAGGGGGCAUCUGUCCUGGCAUAAGCUGCUGCGGGGGCAUGGCCCCUGGUGGGAUCUGGCCAGGUGCAAGGCCUG
rnacentral:misc_RNA from 1 species